rnacentral:rRNA from 1 species
CCUACCUUUUAGUGGGGGAUAACCUAGGGAAACCUGGGCUAAUACCGCAUAAUACCUACGGGUCAAAGCAGCAAUGCGCUGAAAGAGGGGGUCGCGGCCGAUUAGCUAGUUGGCGGGGUAAUGGCCCACCAAGGCAGUGAUCGGUAUCCGGCCUGAGAGGGCGCACGGACACACUGGAACUGAAACACGGUCCAGACUCCUACGGGAGGCAGCAGUGGGGAAUUUUGCGCAAUGGGGGAAACCCUGACGCAGCAACGCCGCGUGGAGGAUGAAGUCCCUUGGGACGUAAACUCCUUUCGAUCGGGACGAUAAUGACGGUA